AAGGAUUUAAGUUAAUUUAAACUAUUGACCUUCAAAGUCAAAAAUAGAAAAAAAUUUCUAAGCCUUA
rnacentral:tRNA from 1 species